rnacentral:tRNA from 1 species
AUACAGGUAGCUCAAUUGGUAGAGCAUCGAAUUUUUAAUUCGAGGGUUAUGGGUUCAAUUCCCAUCCUUUAUA